rnacentral:rRNA from 1 species
AUUGAACGCUGGCGGCAUGCCUUACACAUGCAAGUCGAACGGCAGCAUGGAAGAGCUUGCUCUUCUGAUGGCGAGUGGCGAACGGGUGAGUAAAGCAUCGGAACGUACCGUGUAGUGGGGGAUAACGUAGCGAAAGUUACGCUAAUACCGCAUACGCACUGAGGUGGAAAGCAGGGGAUCGCAAGACCUUGCGCUAUACGAGCGGCCGAUGUCAGAUUAGCUAGUUGGUAAGGUAAAGGCCUACCAAGGCGACGAUCUGUAGCGGGUCUGAGAGGAUGAUCCGCCACACUGGGACUGAGACACGGCCCAGACUCCUACGGGAGGCAGCAGUGGGGAAUUUUGGACAAUGGGCGAAAGCCUGAUCCAGCCAUGCCGCGUGAGUGAAGAAGGCCUUCGGGUUGUAAGUAC